UUUUUUUACUUGAAACAAAGUCUCAGCACAGCAGCCCGAUGCACGGCGAUGCCAGGCAGUCGACGGUCUGAGAGAAGGACUAAGGCGCUAGUGCGGAUUUGUUGGGACAUGACAGCAUGAGGACCUGAGAUUCAACAAGGCCAAGUGACAAGUCCUGCAGUUUGGCUACAACAAUGCCAUGCAGCACUACAGGCUGGGACAAGAGUGACUGUAAAGAGGCCUGGUGGAAAAGGACCUGAGGGUGCUGGUUGAGAGCAGCUGAACGUGGCCCAGUGGCCAGGAAAACCAAUGACAUCCUGUCCUGGCCAGCAACAAUGGGCUGGGAUUGUCCCUCUGUACAUGGCACUGGUGACAACACAAAUCCCGUGUCCAGUUCCAGGCCCCUCACUGCAUAAAAAACAUUGAGGGGUUGGAGCAAGUCCAGAGAAGGACAACAGAGCUGGUGAAUUGGCUAGAGGGUGAGUCCUGUGAGGAGUGACUGAGGGAUCUGGGGUUGUUCAUACAGGAUGAAAGGAAAAGGCUUGGGCGGACCUUAUUGUUCUCUCCAAUUACCUAAAAGGAGGGUGUAGCUGGAGAGGAAAUUAGUCUCUUAUCCUAAGCAAUAAGUGACAGUACAGAGCCUCAAGCUGAGCCAGGGAAGGGCCAGGCUGGACAAAUUUCUUCACUGAAAGAGUAGUUAAACAAUGGAAUGGUCUGCCCAGGGAGGUGGUAGAGUCACCAUCCCUGGAGGUGUUCAGGAAACAGCUAACAUGCCAUGUAGUACUAUGGGCUAGUUGGCUAGUUGGUAAUCAGUCAUAGAUUGGAUGUGAUGUUAUUAGAGGUUUCUUCAAUCUAAAUGAUUUUGUGAUUCUUUCAUUUCAGAACUUUGAAGUUGCACUGUAUGUUUCCACUGAGGUUUUAAAACUGUACUGCAGGCAAUAGAGUCCACCACUGUCUGAAGCCAGUCUUGUUCCUUUCAUUAGAGAAGGACCAGCAGUAGAAGGUGGCCAUUUAAGCAGUUUUAAUGCAAUAUUGCACAAAGCAGGAAAACUAUACACAGAAAAACAUCCAGGAUGAUUGCUGAUUUUCUAAAAAAAAACAGAUUUGCAGGUUCACUGGUUCCCUGAAAAGAAUUUUGGUGAUUGGCAGUCUAGGCUAAAUGGACACAAAAAGGACCCUUUUCUCUGACCCAUUGAUUUUUUCAUGUUUUUACAUGUCAUGGAAAUCAGGAGAUUUAUGAAAAGGAUCUCACAUUUGUUAACCUUUUGUUACAGCUAUCCAUUUAUCAUAGCAUCCAGAAGAUUUUACUUUGUUGUUGAAAAAGAGAUGAUGCAUUCUAAAAACAGCUGAAACUGAAAAAUAAUUUCUGAAGUGAGUUGAACCAGUGUAAUGUGUGUGAAUACAUGUAAUAUAAUCUCUUGUAACAUACACCUUUGACCAAAUACUAUUAAUAAUGGUAUGCAGGAUAAUAUGGCAUUAUGGAAAAUCACCUCUUCAUUGGAAGAUGAAAACAAUCCAAAAAUCUAAAUAAUAAUAGUCUUCACCAUGAUGUCUAAUUAUUCUUUAAUCAAGUCUUUAAUGAAUUCAAGAUAUGAUCAUAGUCACAGCAGUUUCAACCCCCACAUUGUAAAUCCACAUGUAAAGAAUACAAUUUAACAAUCCUUUAGUGCUAUUUUGAACAGGCUGCAAAUGCAAUUUUAGAACUAUUCGAUUUUUCAAAUAACCUGGUAGGAACUGCAGUUUGUAUAACUAAUUUUGUGAUGGUAAUAUGUUCAUAUUGUCCUCUUUUAUCAUUAAUCUGCAUAGGUAUAAUUAGAAGUUUGGCUUGAUUAAGAAAAACCAUUUACUCAAAUAAAUACCAAGCCUUUGAGGUUUUCUUUAAAAGAAAAUCUUAAUUCUAGAUUAUUUUAAAGGGUAGACAAAUGUCUUGAAAAUGUAUUUAAAAAGCAUUUCAUAGAAACAAUAGAGUUGUACAUAGGUGUUCAUAUCUGUUCUUUCAUAAUUCUGCCAACUUAUUUUAAUGUGUAUAGUGAUGCAUCAUAGAGACACGAUUUAGCAAUUGAUACUUGACUGGGAAACACUUUGCAUAUUUUUGGUACCAUAGAAACCACCUGUUAAAAACUACCUAUAAACAUUAAUAAGGGUUGUAAAUGAAAAAAAUUUAACUGUGGUAAUUUUUAGCACAUUUCCACCCAGAUACACUUGGAAUUAUAGUAACAAAGUUGAAAAUGUUAUGGUGUUAGUGUCAUGGAUGAGUUCAUUGCCAUGACUAACGGCAUCAGUGGGAAAAAAAAAAGCAAGACUACUUAGAUUAUGUACAUACACAAAACAGUAAAAUGACGAGAAAGUUGGAGAGAUCAAGUGUUAAAUUGUAAUGCUAAGGAUGAACAGCAUCAAACUUGCCCUGGAGUUGUUGAAAAAGAUGCCUUGCUGUUUCUCAUUUACCAAAUUGGUUCUAAAAUGUGCAUAAAUUAAAAUAUUUCAUAGAACUCUCUUUUUUAUUACUCUUCAUUAUCCUAUAAGAAUGGAAAGGAAUUAUAGUUAACAGUUUAAAAAUAUUGUGCAAUUCAGAAUGAAAUCUUGCAUCUACAUGUAAAAUGAAAGAGGCUUGUAUAUUAUACUUCAUUUUUGACAAUUUUUUUCCUGUAUAGAUAUAUGUAGGCAAAACAUUAAAAGCUAUUUAGCCUACUGCUAACUCACUCCUUUUCAAAAUUAACCAUAUCCCUUAAGCUAAAUGGCUAAGCUAGAUAAAUAACCACAAACAUGAAAGAACUUACACACAUUUUGCAACUCCUACUAUUUACUGAGUAAAUGGCAUAUUUAAAAUUUUUUAAUUAUCUUUAAAAUUGACAAUUAAUAAUGGAAAACAAAAAUUCUAUGCUGGACAGCUAUUAGAGGUUUUCAUUUAUAGUAAAGUGUUUUAUUGUGUGACAUGGGAAACACAGGAAUUAUGACUCAUGGGAGAGCAGAAUUAAGAAUUAUGCAGCAUCUUUCAAUCAAGGCACAAUCUCACACCAGCCCUGGUGAAGAUUAGGUGUUUAUUACAGGUCUACUGGGUUCUUUCCAAAGACAAGGAAAGGUUUUGUUCCCCUAAGUCAUUCCUGUAUUGACUUAGAACUGAACCUUCAAUUGAACUGAACUGAACUGUAUUGAAUUUAGAACUGUAUUGAACUUAGAAUUACAUAUGAAACAGAAAGAGUCUGGGGAGUAGUGGAAUGGGUUUGAAGCUUUUGAACUCCAAAACAUUUUUGAAAGGGCACAUCUUACAGUCAUUAAGCUGUAAUACAGGAACAAAAUAUUAUAUAAUUCUCUAGUACUUGAUUGUAUUUUAAUAGCUAUGUAUGUCCACAUAUGUAGUAGUAUAAGAUACCAAUAGGUCAAAGGGAUCUUAAUAUGUUGAAUUUUAAGACACUUUUUACUUUCCAUAUAUUUCUUUAUAUUUGUUGAUUUGAGGAAAUCCUGUUGCUUUUACUUUAAAUCUGAAAAAUAUGAGCUGAUAACUGAAAACUGAGCUGAUAAUUCCUGUGGAAUGAAUGUGAAAAAUCCUUUCUUUCUGUUUACAUAGAAUGUAAACUAAUAAACAAACCAACCCACCUCUC